AAUGAACGUUGGCGGCGUGGAUUAGGCAUGCAAGUCGAGCGAGAAGGUUUCCUUCGGGGAACUGGACAGCGGCAAACGGGGUAGUAAGGCGUAGGUUACGUACCCUCAGGACCGGGAUAGCCACGGGAAACUGUGGGUAAUACCGGAUGAUCUCUACGGAGCAAAUGGUGAGAUUCCGCCUGGGGAGCGGCUUACGUGGUAUUAGCUAGUUGGUGAGGUAACGGCUCACCAAGGCAACGAUGCCUAGGGGGUGUGAGAGCAUGGCCCCCACCACUGGGACUGAGACACUGCCCAGACACCUACGGGUGGCUGCAGUCGAGAAUCUUCGGCAAUGGACGCAAGUCUGACCGAGCGACGCCGCGUGCGGGAUGAAGGCCCUUGGGUUGUAAACCGCUGUCAGAGGGGAUGAAAUCAUCGAGGGCUAUCCCUUGAUGUUGACAGAGCCUCAGAGGAAGCACGGGCUAAGUACG
rnacentral:rRNA from 1 species